rnacentral:misc_RNA from 1 species
AACGCACAUUGCGCCCGGCAGUACUCUGCCGGGCAUGCCUGUUCGAGCGUCAUUUCAACCCUCAAGCCCUGCUUGGUGUUGGGGCCCCACGGCUGCCGUGGGCCCUGAAAGGAAGUGGCGGGCUCGCUACAACUCCGAGCGUAGUAAUUCAUUAUCUCGCUUAGGGCGUUGGGCGGCGCUCCAGCCGUUAAAGGACCAUCUUUAACUCAAGGUUGACCUCGGAUCAGGUAGGAAUACCCGCUGAACUUAA